UUUUGGAGGAACUCGGCGUGCUUUAACAUGCAAGACGAGCGAUGAAACACCUUCGGGUGUGAAUUAGCGGCGAACGGGUGAGGAACACGUGAAGAAUCUGCCUUCAACUCUGGGAUAACUCCGGGAAACCGGGGCUAAUACCGGAUAUGAGCCUUGAUCGCAUGAUCGGGGCUGGAAAGUUUUUCGGUUGAAGAUGACUUCGCGGCCUAUCAGCUUGUUGGUGAGGUAAUGGCUCACCAAGGCGACGACGGGUAGCCGGCCUGAGAGGGCGACCGGCCACACUGGGACUGAGACACGGCCCAGACUCCUACGGGAGGCAGCAGUGGGGAAUAUUGGGCAAUGGAGGAAACUCUGACCCAGCGACGCCGCGUGAGGGAUGAAGGCCUUCGGGUUGUAAACCUCUU
rnacentral:rRNA from 1 species